AAGAAAGCGUAAUAGCUCACUGGUCGAGUCGGCCUGCGCGGAAGAUGUAACGGGGCUAAACCAUGCACCGAAGCUGCGGCAGCGAACGUAUCACUUAAAGCGAUUCAGCGGGUUACGAUUGACGGAGCGAAGCGACGUCAAAGCGUAUACAAAGUCGAGUCGGUUUAAGGAUACGUUCGUUGGGUAGGGGAGCGUUCUGUAAGCCUGUGAAGGUGGCCUGUGAGGGUUGCUGGAGGUAUCAGAAGUGCGAAUGCU
rnacentral:rRNA from 1 species